UACGUAGGGUGCAAGCGUUAAUCGGAAUUACUGGGCGUAAAGCGUGCGCAGGCGGCUUUGCAAGACAGAUGUGAAAUCCCCGGGCUUAACCUGGGAACUGCAUUGGUGACUGGCAGGCUAGAGUAUGGCAGAGGGGGGUAGAAUUCCACGUGUAGCAGUGAAAUGCGUAGAGAUGUGGAGGAAUACCGAUGGCGAAGGCAGCCCCCUGGGCCAAUACUGACGCUCAUGCACGAAAGCGUGGGGAGCAAACAGG
rnacentral:rRNA from 1 species